AGUGAACGCUGGCGGUAGGCCUAACACAUGCAAGUCGAACGGCAGCACAGGAGAGCUUGCUCUCUGGGUGGCGAGUGGCGGACGGGUGAGGAAUACAUCGGAAUCUACUCUGUCGUGAGGGAUAACGUAGGGAAACUUACGCUAAUACCGCAUACGACCUACGGGUGAAAUCAGGGGAUCUUCGGACCUUGCGCGAUUGAAUGAGCCGAUGUCGGAUUAGCUAGUUGGCGGGGUAAAGGCCCACCAAGGCGACGAACCGUAGCUGGUCUGAGAGGAUGAUCAGCCACACUGGAACUGAGACACGGUCCAGACUCCUACGGGAGGCAGCAGUGGGGAAUAUUGGACAAUGGGCGCAAGCCUGAUCCAGCCAUACCGCGUGGGUGAAGAAGGCCUUCGGGUUGUAAAGCCCUUUUGUUGGGAAAGAAAUCCAGCUGGCUAAUACCCGGUUGGGAUGACGGUACCCAAAGAAUAAGCACCGGCUAACUUCGUGCCAGCCGCCGCCGUAA
rnacentral:rRNA from 1 species